UCCAGCUACGAUAGCGCGUUGAAGGCGCACCAGUGCCUCAUGAAUCACUGAAGCUAAGCAACGUUUCGCGUGGUUAGUAUCUAAAUGGGUGACCAUCUGAGAAAUCUCGUGCUGUAGGCU
rnacentral:rRNA from 1 species